CAAACAUAGAGGAGAAAGAAGAUCCUGUUGAACUUGACUUUAAUCCAACUCUGUGUAGAAUAAUGAGAGGCGUAGCACAACUGGAAGGCAUUUCGCGGCCAGUGAAAUACCAUUGCUUUCUUCGAUUUUUUACUUAUUUGAUAAAACGAGAAUUGGGACAAACAGUCUCGAAAUUUUCGAUUUAAGAACAGCCACUCGAUGGCCGUACGACUGCGCCGAAAACAGUGUCGGGCGAGGAGUUUGACUGGAACGAUACAUCUGUCAAAAAGUAACGCAGGUGUCCUAAGGCUAGUUCAGAGAGGACGGAAACCUCUCGUAGAGCAAAAGGGCAAAAGUUCGCUUGAUCUUGAUUUCCAGUGCGAAUACAGACCACGAAAGCAUGGCGUAUCGAUCCUUUUGAAUUAGAAAGUUUUUAGCAAGAGAUGUCAGAAAAAUUACCACAGGAAUAAUUAGCUCGGGGCAGCCAAGUGUCCAUAGUGAAGUUGCUUUUUGAUCCUUUGAUACCAGCUCUUUCUAUCGUGCGAAGCAGAAUUCACCAAGCGUUGGACUGUUCACCCACCAAUAAGUAACGUGAACUGGGUUUAGGUCGACGUAGACAGGUUAGUUUUACCCUAUUAUGAAAAGUUGUUGCGACAGUAAUUCUGCCCAGUACGAGUGAGAGAAACCGUGGGUUCAGUCAUCUGGUUCAUUUGCUUCACCGAUCGGCCAGUGGUACGAUAAUACCAUCUGAGGGAUUAUGACAGAUUUGGACUAGGUCAGAAUCCCGUGACGUGAUAUGCUGCAAAAGCGCACUUCCCCUUCAAACUUUGACGCGGUCGUACGCACUUCACAAGCGUGCGCGAAAGCUGAAUUUGAAAUCUUUAUGCACAUAGAAUAUCCCUACAUGGUUUCAGCUUUGUACCUUGCCUGGAUCGCGAAAUCGUUUCCCACCAAAAGAGUUUGCAUAUUUUGGAGGGUGUACCGUACGCGGGGUCUAGGCGCGUGUGAGGGGAGAUCUUAAAACGGGAGGCUGACAAAUGGGGUAGGAACGUAUACCUAAACUUUCAGCCUCCCAGUUUCCCUAGUUGU
rnacentral:ncRNA from 1 species